AGUCAAGUAAUUAAGUGCAUGUGGUGGAUGCCUUGGCAGUCAGAGGCGAUGAAAGACGUGAUAGCCUGCGAAAAGCUCCGGGGAGGCGGCAAAUAUCCUUUGAUCCGGAGAUGUCUGAAUGGGGGAACCCACCUACUUUAAGGUAGGUAUUGCAACAUGAAUACAUAGUGUUGCAAGGCGAACGAGGGGAAGUGAAACAUCUCAGUACCCUUAGGAAAAGAAAUCAAUUGAGAUUCCCUCAGUAGCGGCGAGCGAACGGGGAUCAGCCCAUUAAGUUAUGUGUGUUUUAGUGGAACGCUCUGGGAAGUGCGAACGUAGAGGGUGAUAUUCCCGUACACGAAAGGGCACACAUAAUGAUGACGAGUAGGGCGAGGCACGUGAAACCUUGUCUGAAUAUGGGGGGACCAUCCUCCAAGGCUAAAUACUCCUGACUGACCGAUAGUGAACCAGUACCGUGAGGGAAAGGCGAAAAGAACCCCUGUGAGGGGAGUGAAAUAGAUCCUGAAACCGCAUGCAUACAAGCAGUGGGAGCACCUUCGUGGUGUGACUGCGUACCUUUUGUAUAAUGGGUCAGCGACUUAUAUUCAGUAGAGGUUAACCGUAUAGGGGAGCCGUAGAGAAAUCGAGUCUUAAUAGGGCGUUUAGUUGCUGGGUAUAGACCCGAAACCAGGCGAUCUAUCCAUGAGCAGGUUGAAGGUUGGGUAACACUAACUGGAGGACCGAACCCACUGUCGUUGAAAAGCCAGGGGAUGACUUGUGGAUAGGGGUGAAAGGCUAAUCAAGCCUGGUGAUAGCUGGUUCUCCCCGAAAGCUAUUUAGGUAGCGCCUCGGACGAAUACCAUAGGGGGUAGAGCACUGUUUCGGCUAGGGGGUCAUCCCGACUUACCAAACCGAUGCAAACUCCGAAUACCUAUGAGUACUAUCCGGGAGACAGACUGCGGGUGCUAACGUCCGUAGUCAAGAGGAAAACAAUCCAGACCGCCAGCUAAGGCCCCAAAAUCAUAGUUAAGUGGGAAACGAUGUGGGAAGGCAUAGACAGCUAGGAGGUUGGCUUAGAAGCAGCCACCCUUUAAAGAAAGCGUAAUAGCUCACUAGUCGAGUCGGCCUGCGCGGAAGAUGUAACGGGGCUAAAACUAUGUGCCGAAGCUGCGGAUGUAUACUUUGUAUACGUGGUAGGGGAGCGUUCUGUAAGCCGAUGAAGGUGUGUUGAGAAGCAUGCUGGAGGUAUCAGAAGUGCGAAUGCUGACGUGAGUAACGACAAAACGGGUGAAAAACCCGUUCGCCGAAAGACCAAGGGUUCCAGUCCAACGUUAAUCGGGGCUGGGUGAGUCGACCCCUAAGGCGAGGCCGAAAGGCGUAGUCGAUGGGAAAAUGGUUAAUAUUCCAUUACUUCUGUGUAAUGCGAUGAGAGGACGGAGAAGGCUAAAUCAGCCUGGCGUUGGUUGUCCAGGUGAAAGGAUGUAGGCAUGUAUCUUAGGCAAAUCCGGGGUACUCUAUGCUGAGAUCUGAUAGCAAGCUGUACUUGUACAGCGAAGUGGUUGAUGCCAUGCUUCCAGGAAAAGUCUCUAAGCUUCAGUUACACAGGAAUCGUACCCGAAACCGACACAGGUGGUCAGGUCGAGUAGACCAAGGCGCUUGAGAGAACUCUGCUGAAGGAACUAGGCAAAAUGGUACCGUAACUUCGGGAGAAGGUACGCUGUUGUUGGUGAUGGAACUCGCUUCCUGAGCUGACGACAGCCGCAGAAACCAGGCCGCUGCAACUGUUUAUUAAAAACAUAGCACUCUGCAAACACGAAAGUGGACGUAUAGGGUGUGAUGCCUGCCCGGUGCUGGAAGGUUAAUUGAUGGGGUUAGCGUAAGCGAAGCUCUUGAUCGAAGCCCCAGUAAACGGCGGCCGUAACUAUAACGGUCCUAAGGUAGCGAAAUUCCUUGUCGGGUAAGUUCCGACCUGCACGAAUGGCAUAAUGAUGGCGGCGCUGUCUCCAGCAGAGGCUCAGUGAAAUCGAAAUCGCUGUGAAGAUGCAGUGUACCCGCGGCUAGACGGAAAGACCCCGUGAACCUUUACUGCAGCUUGACACUGAACUUUGACCUUACUUGUGUAGGAUAGGUGGGAGGCUUUGAAGCUGGAACGCUAGUUCCAGUGGAGCCGUCCUUGAAAUACCACCCUGGUAAUGUUGAGGUUCUAACUCUGUCCCGUGAUCCGGGACGAGGACCGUGUCUGGUGGGUAGUUUGACUGGGGCGGUCUCCUCCUAAAGAGUAACGGAGGAGUACGAAGGUGCGCUCAGCGUGGUCGGAAAUCACGCGUAGAGUAUAAAGGCAAAAGCGCGCUUAACUGCGAGACCCACAAGUCGAGCAGGUACGAAAGUAGGUCUUAGUGAUCCGGUGGUUCUGUAUGGAAGGGCCAUCGCUCAACGGAUAAAAGGUACUCUGGGGAUAACAGGCUGAUACCGCCCAAGAGUUCAUAUCGACGGCGGUGUUUGGCACCUCGAUGUCGGCUCAUCUCAUCCUGGGGCUGAAGCAGGUCCCAAGGGUAUGGCUGUUCGCCAUUUAAAGAGGUACGCGAGCUGGGUUUAGAACGUCGUGAGACAGUUCGGUCCCUAUCUACCGUGGGCGCUGGAAAUUUGAGAGGAUCUGCUCCUAGUACGAGAGGACCAGAGUGGACGAACCUCUGGUGUACCGGUUGUGACGCCAGUCGCAUCGCCGGGUAGCUAUGUUCGGAAGGGAUAACCGCUGAAAGCAUCUAAGCGGGAAGCCUACCUCAAGAUAAGAUUUCCCUAGGACUUUAUGUCCUCUAAAGAGCCGUUCGAGACUAGGACGUUGAUAGGUUGGAUGUGGAAGCAUAGUGAUAUGUGAAGCUGACCAAUACUAAUUGCUCGUGAGGCUUGACUAU
rnacentral:rRNA from 1 species